GGGAUUAAAGAUAUGUGCCUCUAAGCUCAGAGAGGAGACAGGAAGAAAGAAAUAGAGAAGAAAGAAGUGGGCAGAGAAGGAAUGGCAAAGAAAGGUGCGAAAAAUGGCCGAUACCCAACCAAGAUGAUCAUGGGCUGGAAGACAGAGUAGAAGCUGUGGUGGAUUACGAGAAGAGAUUGUGACUAAGGUGUGAGGAGGAGUCCAUGGGGAGAACAGGAUUCAGGAGGAUUGAGUUUUAAACCCAAAGACAGAUGCAGCAUGACUCCCUUAGGCUUGCUGCUCUCUUCCCUGAUCAGCAGGGGCCAG
rnacentral:lncRNA from 1 species